UACGUAGGGUGCGAGCGUUGUCCGGAAUUAUUGGGCGUAAAGAGCUUGUAGGCGGUUUGUUGUGUCUGCUGUGAAAAUCCGGGGCUCAACCCCGGACUUGCAGUGGGUACGGGCAGACUAGAGUGUGGUAGGGGAGACUGGAAUUCCUGGUGUAGCGGUGAAAUGCGCAGAUAUCAGGAGGAACACCGAUGGCGAAGGCAGGUCUCUGGGCCGCUACUGACGCUGAGAAGCGAAAGCAUGGGGAGCGAACAGG
rnacentral:rRNA from 1 species